rnacentral:rRNA from 1 species
UACGGAGGGUGCAAGCGUUAAUCGGAAUCACUGGGCGUAAAGCGCGCGUAGGCGGCCUUGCAAGUCAGGCGUGAAAGCCCUCGGCUCAACCGAGGAACUGCGCUUGAAACUGCUUGGCUUGAGUUCGGGAGAGGGUGGCGGAAUUCCGGGUGUAGGAGUGAAAUCCGUAGAUAUCCGGAGGAACACCGGUGGCGAAGGCGGCCACCUGGACCGAUACUGACGCUGAGGUGCGAAAGCGUGGGGAGCAAACAGG